AUUGAACGCUGGCGGAAUGCUUUACACAUGCAAGUCGAGCGGCAGCGCGGCCUUCGGGCUGGCGGCGAGCGGCAAACGGGUGAGUAAUGCAUCGGAACAUGCCCAGUCGUGGGGGAUAACACUUCGAAAGAAGUGCUAAUACCGCAUACGUCCUGAGGGGGAAAGCGGGGGAUCGCAAGACCUCGCGCGAUUGGAGUGGCCGAUGUCAGAUUAGCUAGUUGGUGGGGUAAAGGCCUACCAAGGCGACGAUCUGUAGCUGGUCUGAGAGGAUGAUCAGCCACACUGGGACUGAGACACGGCCCAGACUCCUACGGGAGGCAGCAGUGGGGAAUUUUGGACAAUGGGGGCAACCCUGAUCCAGCCAUUCCGCGUGAGUGAAGAAGGCCUUCGGGUUGUAAAGCUCUUUCGGCAGGAACGAAACGGUGGGCUCUAACAUAGUCCGCUAAUGACGGUACCUGAAGAAGAAGCACCGGCUAACUACGUG
rnacentral:rRNA from 1 species